rnacentral:rRNA from 1 species
GACAGAGGUGGCUAGCGUUGUUCGGAUUUAUUGGGCGUAAAGCGCACGCAGGCGGUUUGGUAAGGCAGGGGUGAAAUUCUGCAGCUUAACUGCGGAACAGCCUUUGAAACUGCCUUUCUAGAGUGCAUGAGGGGGAAGCGGAAUUCCGAGUGUAGAGGUGAAAUUCGUAGAUAUUCGGAGGAACACCGGUGGCGAAGGCGGCUUCCUGGCAUGUAACUGACGCUCAUGUGCGAAAGCGUGGGGAGCAAACAGG